rnacentral:snRNA from 1 species
GUGCUUGUGUCGGCAGCACAUACACUAAAAUUGGAACAACACAGAGAGGAUCAGCCUGGCCCCUGCCCAAGGAUGACACGCAAAUUCGUGAGGGGUUCCAUAUUUUU